rnacentral:sRNA from 1 species
GCAUAUGACUUUUUGUUUUGAUUUGGUGGUCACUUGUUUGUACAAGCGUGGGGGACCUAUCAUCGCCGUGCAGGUGGAGAAUGAAUAUGGUUCCUAUAAUAAAGACCCCGCAUACAUGCCCUACGUCAAGAAGGCACUGGAGGACCGUGGCAUUGUGGAACUGCUCCUGACUUCAGACAACAAGGAUGGGCUGAGCAAGGGGAUUGUCCAGGGAGUGUUGGCCACCAUCAACUUGCAGUCAACACACGAGCUGCAGCUACUGACCACCUUUCUCUUCAAUGUCCAGGGGACUCAGCCCAAGAUGGUGAUGGAGUACUGGACGGGGUGGUUUGACUCGUGGGGAGGCCCUCACAAUAUCUUGGAUUCUUCUGAGGUUUUGAAAACCGUGUCUGCCAUUGUGGAUGCCGGCUCCUCCAUCAACCUCUACAUGUUCCACGGAGGCACCAACUUUGGCUUCAUGAAUGGAGCCAUGCACUUCCAUGACUACAAGUCAGAUGUCACCAGCUAUGACUACGACGCUGUGCUGACAGAAGCCGGCGAUUACACGGCCAAGUACAUGAAGCUUCGAGACUUCUUCGGCUC